GCUGUGAUGUUUGUAAACAAUAGCAUGCAGUGUCCAGUCAGGGGUGUAGAGCGAAGAACCUAUCAAACCUUCACGGUGUGAGCAUCUAAAGUAACCUUAAUCGUGCAGUGAACAUAAGAAUUCAAUGGACACUGAACUGAAUCCAGAACCAGGGGAAAAAACCUGGAACUUUUUAUGAAAUAAUAUACGAUUCCCAAUCAAACAGAAGACCAAAAGAAAAUAGUGACAGCGAGCAAGAUCCAAAUCACAAGCAUCCAAGAAAACCCGAAAUCGGCAAGAACAUCACGGAAGCCCAACUGACCACAUCCGAAGACUCAACAGUAAACAGAAUUGUUUCCUUCAGAGAAAAGAAGGCAAAAUAAGAGUAAAGAUUCAAGUAACGAGAGGAAGAAACUCAAAAGAAGAUGAAGACUCGGGGUCUGAUGAAACCAACGCCUAAGAUAGAAAAAAAGCGGGCAUCAAGUCAAGGUCAGAAAAUGGUGGCUCCACUUAAGCUGAAAUUAAUGACCUUUGUUGAUCCAGAAGUCAGAAGAGGUCAGAGUGGAGAAAAUAUGCCUUACUGUUGCCAGAAGUCAAAGCACCCACCCAAAUACAAGAGGAAAAGCAGUUCAAACCAGGAAGGCAGAAGAAGAGAAAAACAUAUGAUCCCCACGGCAGCAAACCGAAGCAUGUUACCUUCAGUGAGACUGAAGAGGAGAAUGUGCACAUAAUGCUGCAUUGCUUUGAGAGCUUUGACUGGCUGGAUCAACUUGAAAAGCCACAGAGGAAAGUUGUUGUGGAUAAAAAAAAUGCGCUCCAGAUAAAAGACCCAUUCCAGGCAAUGACAUAUAGGGAAUAUCUACAGAGGUUUAGGCUAAACAAGGAAAGCACACGUCAUUUCAUCCAGCAAGUGCAUCAGAAUCUUCCAAGAGCUCAGAAUGGUCAAGAAUUGUGUACCACCUCAUCUGCAAGUACCUAACAACCAGUAACCAUCAGUUAACAAUUGAUGACCGAGAUGUGUCUCAGACUUUGUCAGUACCUGUGUUGGAAGAGUAGUAAGGAGAAUAGCUGGGUGGAGUGGAUCAAAAUGACAUCUGGAAAUGAAGUAUCUUUCUAACUCCAAUACUCAAUCUAAGAACUGUACGAGAAAGAAGGUAUAAUGGCACUCACAUCAAAUCCUGUUGCGGAAAAGGGAUGCAACAGAAAUGAACAAUACAAAAGUAUUGAUUGUUGCUGCAUCUUUUCUUCAUAACAUGGCUAUACUAGUGCCUGAGGAUGUUCCCCAAGACAAGUACUUUGCAGCCAAUGCAGGUGACCCUGAAGAUCCAGAACCAGAGUUAAGGUGGAUGAUAAUUUGGCAAAAAUUUUGUUGGAAAUACAGAAAGACAAAAUGUAAGAAAUUCCUUUUAAAUUCAUAGUCAUCAAUGUACACUGGAUUUUAAUUUUGUUACCUCUCUGUGAAUUAUAUAAUACAUUAUUAUUUGCUAGAUUUAUAUGAUAGUAUGUUUUUUUUUGGAUUAUAGUGUAUAUUAAGCAUUUUCAUUUUUAUACUGUUAGAGUUGUAGA
rnacentral:misc_RNA from 1 species